GAUGAACGCUAGCGGCAGGCCUAAUACAUGCAAGUCGAGGGGCAGCGGGGUAGCAAUACUGCCGGCGACCGGCGCACGGGUGCGUAACACGUAUGCAACCUACCUUCAACAGGGAGAUAGCCCGGGGAAACUCGGAUUAAUAUUCCAUAACACAGGGGACCCACAUGGGUAUAUUGUUAAAGCUCAGGCGGUUGAAGAUGGGCAUGCGUCCGAUUAGCUAGUUGGCGGGGUAAUGGCCCACCAAGGCUACGAUCGGUAGGGGGUCUGAGA
rnacentral:rRNA from 1 species